UGUUGGCUGUCCAGAUGAUUAAAACUCAUUUGUUAGCAAGGGCCGGGCAAGACCGGUGCCAGCCGCCGCGGUAACACCGGCGGCCCGAGUGGUAACCGUUUUUAUUGGGUCUAAAGGGUCCGUAGCCGGCCUGAAAAGUCCUUUGGGAAAUCUGACAGCUUAACUGUCAGGCUUCUAAGGGAUACUCUCAGGCUUGGGACCGGGAGAGGUAAGGGGUACUCCAAGGGUAGGAGUGAAAUCUUGUAAUCCUUGGGGGACCAUCUGUGGCGAAGGCGCCUUACCAGAACGGGUCCGACGGUGAGGGACGAAAGCUAGGGGAGCAAACCGGAUUAGAUACCCGGGUAGUCCUAGCCGUAAACGAUGCUCGCUAGGUGUCUGGCACGGUGCGUCCGUGUCCGGUGCCGCAGGGAAGCCGUUAAGCGAGCCACCUGGGAAGUACGGUCGCAAGGCUGAAACUUAAAGGAAUUGGCGGGGGAGCACUACAACGGGUGGAGCCUGCGGUUUAAUUGGAUUCAACGCCGGAAAACUCACCGGGUGCGACAGCAACAUGUAGGUCAGGCUGAAGGUCUUACCUGAAUCGCUGAGAGGAGGUGCAUGGCCGUCGUCAGUUCGUACUGUGAAGCAU
rnacentral:rRNA from 1 species